rnacentral:rRNA from 1 species
UACGGAGGGUGCGAGUGUUAUUCGGAAUCACUGGGCGUAAAGCGAACGUAGGCGGAUAGGCAAGUCAGAUGUGAAAUCCCGGGGCUCAACCUCGGAACUGCAUUUGAUACUGCUUGUCUUGAGUAUGGUAGAGGUGGGUGGAAUUCCCGGUGUAGAGGUGAAAUUCGUAGAUAUCGGGAGGAAUACCUGAGGCGAAGGCGACCCACUGGGCCAUUACUGACGCUGAGGUUCGAAAGCGUGGGUAG